rnacentral:lncRNA from 1 species
CUGGGGCAUCAUUUCAGUGAGGCAGCCUCUGCCUAAAUUAUUUCCACUUACACGGAUCUCACAUGGAAAAAAAAACCAAUGAAUGUAAAGGUUUUCUCUAAGUGCUAGAAAGAAAUGUCUCAGUCAGGGACCUGGUCAAACUCUAGGUUGAAAUUUAAUGUGCUUCAGCCAUCAGCUGCUUGUCUUGCUUUGAGCCCCAGGUGGAAAUCAAACGAGUAUGGAAAUGUCAAACCAACAUAUACUCAGGUGGGAUCUGAACUCCUUGACAGAACUAAGGGCUUCCACAAACUAACCAGCUGUAAGAAAUGUGUCAGUGGGAACAAGGGAGAGAGAAGCAGAGCUGACCAGAAAGAAAAAGUGAUGUCAUGUGGGUUCGAGUGGAUGUGAACCGCUCAGUCUCAAAAGUGACAAAUGAGGCUAAAGAAAUUUGUUAUUUCCUGUGAAGCUGCUUUGGAUUUCACCAGCAGUCAUUAAUUCCCUCUAUGUUGAGGAGGGAAAGUUUUGGGUUUCAGGUAUAGACAGAUGAUUCAGGGAGGAAGGACCUUGUGUGAGAGGCAUGAGUGAUAGCUGAAAUCCUGGGAGCCAGAGUCAUCUGUUUGCAGAAAGCUUCCCCAAAGUGCACAAAGCCAGAUUUCUGCCUUCAUAAAUAUUGUUCUUUCAGGACACGUUUACUAAAUCACGUCUAGUUCACAAUCAUUUGCCAGCCCCAUUUAACUUCAUUAGCUCAGGUCCAGUUCAUACUGUUUAAAACACAGCGUUUCUUGGGAACGGCACAUACAGAAUUAUGUGAACUGUUCGGAAUAGCUUCACCCUGAGCACUUAGCAUGGCUCAUUCUUUGCUACAAUGCUACUAAUCCAGGCACUUACCAGCGAGUCACUCAGUUUCUCCCAGAUCAAGAGCCUCCCUGUAACUUGCAUUGUAUGGUGCAGAAGUGUAGGUGUUACAGAAACAGACUGGAUUCAUCCUGAAAGGCAACACAUGAGGAGGUGGCUGUCUGCCCAUCCAAACUGUCACCAUGCCGAGAGGACAUGGACACAAUCAGUGCCAUUACCCACUGAUGGGACCCGUCCCAGCAGGAAUAUCUAUGCCUAUAAACAGGGAAAGGUGCUUGUAUACACUGCCUUGAAGUACCAGCCAAUACUCCCAGUCUAAAUCAUCAGCCAGCAGAAAAUGACCAACCAUCAUGUUUUUUGAGCUGUGUCUCUGUGAUGAGCCCAUCCCCAGGAGCCAUCCAAAACACAGGAAUGCACAUCCUGUGUCAGUCCAAAGGGACCCCAACCCUGAACUGUGGCUUUCCACAGCUGCAGAGGCCUAGAGAAAGAAAUUACCAAAAUCAGAGUAAGUAUCCUUAUCUAAAUUAGUCAUCAAGGUUCCCUUUGGAGAAAAAACUUUCACCCAUGCAAGUGUUCAAUUCACCUACCCCAAAGCAAAUGCUUAAAAUAAAGCUAAUGAAUUGCCCCCUAGAGCA